GACGAACGCUGGCGGCGUGCUUAACACAUGCAAGUCGAACGGAAAGGCCCUGCUUUCGUGGGGUUCUUGGGUGGCGAUCGGGUGAGUAACACGUGAAUAACCUGACCUUGUCUUUGGGAUAACUUCACGAAACUGGGGCUAAUCUCGGAUAGCAGCUCCCGCUGCAUGGUGGGCAUUGGAAAGUCUCGGCGGUUGGGGCUGGACUCGCGGCUUAUCGGCUUGUUGGUUGGGUAGUGGCUUCCCAAGCCUUUGACCGGUAGCCGGCCUGUGAGGGUGGCCGGGGACAUGGGGACUGAGGUAGGGCCCAGACGGGUACGUGAGGCAGCAGGGGGGAGUAUUGCACAGUGGUCGGAAGUCUGAUGCGGCGACGCCGCGUGCGGGAUGACGGUCUUCUGGGUGAGAACCGCUGUCGCUUGUGACGAAGCGGGAGUGACGGUAAUGAGUGAAGAAGCACCGGCUAACUACGUG
rnacentral:rRNA from 1 species